rnacentral:tRNA from 2 species
GCCCGCGUAGCUCGGCGGCUAGAGCGCCUGCUUCCGAAGCAGGAGGUGCCGAGUUCGAUUCUCGGCGUGGGUA